UACGUAGGGGGCAAGCGUUGUCCGGAAUCAUUGGGCGUAAAGGGAGCGUAGGUGGUUAGGUAAGCCCUCCGGGAAAUCUUCAGGCUUAACCUGAAAAGGUCGGGGGGGACUGCCUAGCUAGAGGGCGGGAGAGGAGCGCGGAAUUCCCGGUGUAGCGGUGAAAUGCGUAGAGAUCGGGAGGAAGGCCGGUGGCGAAGGCGGCGCUCUGGAACGUUUCUGACACUGAGGCUCGAAAGCGUGGGGAGCAAACAGG
rnacentral:rRNA from 1 species